UUUUUAUUGGGUAAUUAUGAGUGGAGCUAGUAGCCACCUGAGCUGAAUAACCUGGGGCGAGUGGCUCAGCAACCAUUUGUUUCACGUUCACUUUAUCGGUUUCAGGCAAGAUAUAGUAGGAAGUGUAAAUAAUAAAUAAUAAACCCCCAAAUCUUUAAAUUUUAUUGGUCUAGUCAAGAGUUCUAAGAUUCUAUUCUUUCAAAAGGGCAGUCUAAUAUUAU
rnacentral:lncRNA from 1 species